rnacentral:rRNA from 1 species
AGCAGCCGCGGUAAUUCCAGCUCCAAUAGCGUAUAUUAAAGUUGUUGCAGUUAAAAAGCUCGUAGUUGAAUUUCGGGGUUAGUACGCUGGUCGUGCCUUCGGUAUGUACUGGUGUUUCUGAUUCCUACCUUCUGAAGAACCGUCAUGUCAUUAAUUUGGUGUGGCGGGGAAUCUGGACUGUUACUUUGAAAAAAUUAGAGUAGUUUAAAGCAAGCUAACGCUUGAAUACAUUAGCAUGGAAUAAUGGAAUAGGACGUUCGAUCCUAUUUUGUUGGUUUCUAGGAUUGACGUAAUGAUUAAUAGGGAUAGUUGGGGGCAUUAGUAUUCAAUUGUCAGAGGUGAAAUUCUUGGAUUUAUUGAAGACUAACUACUGCGAAAGCAUUUGCCAAGGAUGUUUUCAUUAAUCAAGAACGAAAGUUAAGGGAUCGAAGACGAUCAGAUACCGUCGUAGUCUUAACCAUAAACUAUGCCGACUAGGGAUCGGAUGAUGUUAAUUUUUAAUGAACUUCAUUCGGCGCCU